UUCCGUAAGGGGGACCUGCGGAAGGAUCAUUACCGAGUGAGGGCCCUCUGGGUCCAACCUCCCACCCGUGUUUAUUUUACCUUGUUGCUUCGGCGGGCCCGCCUUAACUGGCCGCCGGGGGGCUUACGCCCCCGGGCCCGCGCCCGCCGAAGACACCCUCGAACUCUGUCUGAAGAUUGUAGUCUGAGUGAAAAUAUAAAUUAUUUAAAACUUUCAACAACGGAUCUCUUGGUUCCGGCAUCGAUGAAGAACGCAGCGAAAUGCGAUACGUAAUGUGAAUUGCAAAUUCAGUGAAUCAUCGAGUCUUUGAACGCACAUUGCGCCCCCUGGUAUUCCGGGGGGCAUGCCUGUCCGAGCGUCAUUGCUGCCCUCAAGCACGGCUUGUGUGUUGGGCCCCGUCCUCCGAUCCCGGGGGACGGGCCCGAAAGGCAGCGGCGGCACCGCGUCCGGUCCUCGAGCGUAUGGGGCUUUGUCACCCGCUCUGUAGGCCCGGCCGGCGCUUGCCGAUCAACCCAAAUUUUUAUCCAGGUUGACCUCGGAUCAGGUAGGGAUACCCGCUGAACUUAAGCAUAUCAAUAAGCGGACGAACCG
rnacentral:rRNA from 1 species